UUUCCGUCGUAAAAUCUCUGGAAAUGUCUCAAUAGUGGGCGAUUCCGAGAUAUCGACGGCCUUGGAGACGGUUUAUGCGGAAGUAUACCGCAAUGCAGCAAAAGAAGCGGCGGCGCAGAUCAUGGUUUCGGGGACUAAAGGUUGGAGAAAGCUAGAUGCGAUAACUUUGGGCUCAGAUUCGAGAAGCAGAAGUUGUAGCGAAGGUCAAAGAUAUUGGAUAAGAGUUGCGAGAAAUUCAGGAUAGAUUGGAUAAAGUAAUGAACAGGAAUCAACAAACUUAAAUGAGAAAAAAUUAGCAGGACAUAUUGCUACUAAGAAAGACAUGACAUUACGGCCUCUGACCUCUCUUGGUUUUGGUGAGUCCACAGUUAUUUUAAGUGGUUCUCCUCUGGAACAGCAGCUCAUUACUUGUGAAAUGGACAUGUCAGUUAAGUGCAAGCUUAAAAGCACCAGUGAUACUGACUUUGCCUUCAUUAUAAGAAGAGACAAAGAAUCAGAACCUUUAAAAUGGAUGCCUACCAUGAAAUACAUGGCAGAAGAGAUGAGAAGACCAUGACCAAACGUGUGUGUUGAUAUUAAUAUGAAAGUGGUGCAGACAGAUUAUACUGUUAUCAGAGUGACUUUUCAGAAAAUGAAAAGAAUACUGAAACAUAGGAUAGAAUAUUCUCUUCUAAACAGGUCAUUUUUUUCAGUGGCUAUCAGAAUUAUACGGAGUAUCAGUCUUUUAUUUCUCCAAAAUUCCAUUAUUAACAGUGGAAAGCCACCCACCAGAUGAUUCCUUCUUGAUGAUGAUCACGAUAAUGAUACUCAGAAGAACGGAACUAGAGAAGAUAAAAUUAUCGACAGGAUUUGCACAAUACCUUCAACAGAGGAAAAGUUGCAUUUUCCAUGGGAGAUGAAAAGGCUGAAGCAAUACAUAUACCUUCUGCUAAGAAGAUUUCGGACGUAUCGAAAAUAUGCAGGUGAAGGUAACAGUAUUAUGCCAGUUUCCAGAACAUGGAGAAGUUACAGAAAAGAAGAGCUCUCCAAACUCCAAAGCAUGUUCUUCACUAGUGAGGCCAUGGACACACAUCAUGCACCGUUUCUUCAUUGCUCUGGAAUUCCGUUUGUAGACAACUCUAAUCAACCUGGGGAGAGUUCAUCAAUCAUGAAUGAAAUUGGUAGUCAGAAAUAUUGUUUAAUUCCAUUGAUUUUUAGUGUUUUAUCGGAAAAGGAUGAUGUGUUUACAACACAUGAAGAUGCUGAAAGUGAUAUUGGAAUGCAUGCUUCUCAACAAAUGACGAUGUGGUCGUAGUUGAGUUGGACAUGCGCAGCCCGGAAAUUUUGUCCUUCAACCUUUUGACUCCGGCUUGCGGAAGUGAUACCGAAACUGUUAAAGGCUUGUUAUCUUAGUUUGAAAGGUCUGCUUCUGAUUUGAAUGAUGACUCCCACAGGCAACCUAUAAAUAUUUAUGUUCUUAAGCAAUUUGUAGAAAGCACAAAGACUUGCCAGUUAAUUCAGACGGUAAUUCAUCUCGUAACGAGAGUAUUUAAAGAGGAAGAUGAGGAGCAAAGGAAUGGUUUUGUAGAGACUUAGAAUUGAAGCUUCAUGGUUGAAUUAUCUAAAGAUAGUCGGCAACCAGCACAUUUGCACAUCAGUUUCAGAUUUGACGCCUUUGUGCAAGUAAGAAGAUAAGAGUGCAAGAUCACAGCCUAAAGUGAGCAUCUUUCCCCCGUUUGGCGGCAAUGUUAGUGGCAGACCACAAGGCCUUCAAAAUAUUGUCCGUAGAGCAUGCCUCUGCAAUUGCCUUGUGUUCUUUUAUUUCACGGAUCAUUGCUGCUCUGUUGUUACAGAAAUGGUGGUAAGUAGUUUUUACCUUUAAUCAUGCGUCAUGGAAACUUUACUUUUUUGCUUUCUGACAUCUCAUUUUUAACCCUGACUUGCGAUUAGAUGAAUUUAUAGACUUAUAGUUACUUAAAUUUUCUAUGACUUGUUUUUUUUUUAUUUGAAUUGGAAAUGGUUAGGAUAUUAUUGUAGCGUAAUGUAAAAUUUUGAUUGAUAAGUUGCAUACUUUAAAUUGAAUAGUUCAACUUGAAGGUGAAGAAACAAUAUAAUUUUUUCUGAAAUGUUAUGGAUCUAAAAAUGUCGAUCAUGUGGCUGAGCUGUAGGAUCUGAAUAUGAAGAUUGGUUUCUUGUUUUUUUGCAGUAGGUUUCUUUAAUAUAGCGUAUGUUAGUUAAAAACCUACGUAUGAACCUGAGGUGUGAGGCCUUAUCCCUAUGCAACUGCCUUCCUAUUAUAUUGCUGAAAUGUUUAUGAAUUGGGAGCAUUGCGUAUCAUGACAGAAUAGCAAUGUAUUGACGAAGUCACUGUAUGCGAUAAUGGGGAAGAAAUGAUUUGAACCAAGGUAAAAUGAUUUCGAAUGAUAUCUGGAAAUGGGAAAAGCAGUACAUCCUCUCAUCUUUUCAGAUCAGUUUGAUGUGACACGACAAGCGCCGAAGACUUCAAACUCAAAUUUUGAAAUGUGAAUGAAUCUAUGUAACGUGUACUAUACUAUCAUGUGAAUCUAUAAAAUUAGAGGGCGGAAUUUGCGACUAAAUAUAAGCAUGUAUGCAAAUACA